rnacentral:lncRNA from 1 species
CACGACAGCUGCCUAAUUACCCUCUUGGCAAGACUGGUGACAUUUGAAGUGUACAAUAAUUACAAAACAAAAGACUGAAGUCGACAGCAGCAGUAACUCUUAAGGAGCUAUACUUAUGCUGAAUUGGAAUUGCAACAUGUGAUUUUUUUAUUUAAUUACGUAAGUAAAAGUGACUUUUUACUGGAAAUAUAUUUAAUUCUUAUAGAUACAGGAUUAUUGUAGAUUUUGGUAAGUAACAUUUUUUAUAGGAUUGAAAAAAUCUUGUGAUUCUUACUUUGAAUAGUAAUUAAAAUGAGACAGAUUUGUAUAUAAAUUCAAUAUAUAUUUAUAUCCUGGAAGAAUCCAUACUUACACUGAAUUCGGGUUGUUUCACACUUUUUUUUAUUAUUUACAUAAGUAAAAGUUUAAUUUUAAGUGAACUAUAGUAAUUUCUUAUAGAUACAGGGCUGGAUAUGUUAUUAUUUUGGUCAGUUAUAGUUUAAAAAAAAUUCUUGUAGUUUCAACCAUAAUUAUGUAUAUCGCUUCGAAAUAUGAAUACUUAACUAGAGAUUUUAGUUUAAAUGCAGACAUAUAAGGAUAAAUCUGAAUAUAUAAAUAAGGUCCAUAAUGAAAUGCUACUGUCAACAAAAGGAUUUAGGGAGAUGGAGUUGACUUGUACCUCCUGUAUGUAGCUACAUAUAUGGUUAUUGUAUUGACUUGUAAGUGGAUGUGGUGUAUAUGUGAAAAAGAGAGCAACCUUAAAUUAGAAUUUGUAUGCCCCACUUAGGGCAUUAUGUUUUUCCGUCUGUGCGUUCAUUUGUUAGUCCUUUGUUCUUUGUGCCAAUAGUGGUCAAGAAUGAUUUGUGUGAAUUGGUUUAUACUGCAAUCAGCAAACUAUUUUCUGAACUAUAUAUUUGUACUUGUACAUACAAAGUCUCCUGUUACUAUACUUCCUUGUUAAUUAAGCAGUAAUGUGAAUAUUUCUUUUUUAUUGCAUAACAGUUCAUUUUACAGUUCAAUUUGUUGUCAUUUUCACAAUCAACAUUUAAAUUGGUUGAUUUCUAAGAAAAAUUAAGAGACAAGAAUUUGGAUUUAAAAAACUAUUAAAAGCUUGAAGUGCUGGGUGUAAAAGAGGGGCGAAAGAUACAAGUCAAAUUCUAGAUCGAAAAUAAGCUGACGGCGCCAUGGCUAAAAAAGUAAAAGACAAACAGACAAAUAAUAGAUCACAAUACACAACAUAGAAAACUAAAGACUAAGCAACACAAACCCCACCAAAAACUGCGGGUGAUCUCAGAUGCUCCUGAAUAAAUGAUAAAUGACAAAUAAACAAUGUAUUGAAUGUAAAAUAAUCAAAAAGUUGUUGUAAAUGUAAUGAUAAAAGUCUAAUACAUGUAUUAACUAUUUUUAGUUAAGUAAAUAUGAUAUUGAUAUCUUACAAAACAGUUUUUUUUAUUGAAACUAAUCACACUUCCCCAGUCAAAACAAUUUCAUUGGAAAGAAAUCAACAUGGUCCUUAUAAAAGUACAUUUGACUCAGUUAAAAGUGCAAAUGUUCUUUACUUGUGAUAAAAAUAGAAGCAGGUGUUUGUUCAAAGAAUCUUCAAGUUUGCAUGCUGAAAUAUACAUCUUGAGACUAAAAUAGAUUUUAUGCUUUUGGUUUGAGCAUGUGCAAAGCAUGCUUGUGUAUCAGGAGUAAAGAGUCAGGUGGUCUUGAAAUGGGCAGCCAUCCAAUAAUAUCACUAUGAUUGUUUGAUUGACAGAUGUUACAACAAAAUUUGUCUGAAAAGGGAAGAAUCUGACAAUCCUAUUUAGAACAUCAAAAGACAGUCAAGAAUACAGAAGAGUUAUUUAUUUCUUACAGAAAAUUACCUGAAAGUGAAUUGUAAGUCUAAUAGCUUAGCUAUUGCAAUUACAGAGUUAGUUAUUUUUGGUUUAAUGUAAGAACAGGUUUAGAAUUUACAUAUGUUUAUUAAUGAAACAUAAUUAUGUUUGCUCUAACACUAGGUCUUGUCAGUCCUUUCUAGGUUAAAGCACAAACAAGCAAAAAAAGCAAAA